rnacentral:rRNA from 1 species
AGUGAACGCUGGCGGUAGGCCUAACACAUGCAAGUCGAACGGCAGCACAGUAAGAGCUUGCUCUUACGGGUGGCGAGUGGCGGACGGGUGAGGAAUACAUCGGAAUCUACUUUUUCGUGGGGGAUAACGUAGGGAAACUUACGCUAAUACCGCAUACGACCUACGGGUGAAAGCAGGGGAUCUUCGGACCUUGCGCGAUUGAAUGAGCCGAUGUCGGAUUAGCUAGUUGGCGGGGUAAAGGCCCACCAAGGCGACGAUCCGUAGCUGGUCUGAGAGGAUGAUCAGCCACACUGGAACCGAGACACGGUCCAGACUCCUACGGGAGGCAGCAGUGGGGAAUAUUGGACAAUGGGCGCAAGCCUGAUCCAGCCAUACCGCGUGGGUGAAGAAGGCCUUCGGGUUGUAAAGCCCUUUUGUUGGGAAAGAAAAGCAGCAGGUUAAUACCCCGCUGCUCUGACGGUACCCAAAGAAUAAGCACCGGCUAACUUCGUG